UAGGGAAUCUUCCGCAAUGGACGAAAGUCUGACGGAGCAACGCCGCGUGAGCGAUGAAGGUCUUCGGAUCGUAAAGCUCUGUUGUUAGGGAAGAACAAGUAUCGUUCGAAUAGGGCGGUACCUUGACGGUACCUAACCAGAAAGCCCCGGCUAACUACGUGCCAGCAGCCGCGGUAAUACGUAGGGGGCAAGCGUUGUCCGGAAUUAUUGGGCGUAAAGCGCUCGCAGGCGGUCUUUUAAGUCUGAUGUGAAAGCCCACGGCUUAACCGUGGAGGGUCAUUGGAAACUGGGGGACUUGAGUACAGAAGAGGAGAGUGGAAUUCCACGUGUAGCGGUGAAAUGCGUAGAGAUGUGGAGGAACACCAGUGGCGAAGGCGACUCUCUGGUCUGUAACUGACGCUGAGGAGCGAAAGCGUGGGUAGCGAACAGG
rnacentral:rRNA from 1 species